rnacentral:rRNA from 1 species
UAAGAGUUUGAUCCUGGCUCAGGAUUAACGCUGGCGGCGUGCCUAAUACAUGCAAGUCGAACGGAAGUUUAAGCAAUUAAACUUUAGUGGCGAACGGGUGAGUAACGCGUAAGCAAUCUGCCCCUAAGACGAGGAUAACAGUUGGAAACGACUGCUAAGACUGGAUAGGAGACAAGAGGGCAUCUUCUUGUUUUUAAAAGACCUAGCAAUAGGUAUGCUUAGGGAGGAGCUUGCGUCACAUUAGUUAGUUGGUGGGGUAAAGGCCUACCAAGACUAUGAUGUGUAGCCGGGCUGAGAGGUUGAACGGCCACAUUGGGACUGAGACACGGCCCAAACUCCUACGGGAGGCAGCAGUAGGGAAUUUUCGGCAAUGGAGGAAACUCUGACCGAGCAACGCCGCGUGAACGAUGAAGUAUUUCGGUACGUAAAGUUCUUUUAUUAGGGAAGAAUAAAUGAUGGAAAAAUCAUUCUGACGGUACCUAAUGAAUAAGCCCCGGCUAACUAUGUGCCAGCAGCCGCGGUAAUACAUAGGGGGCAAGCGUUAUCCGGAAUUAUUGGGCGUAAAGGGUGCGUAGGCGGUUAAAUAAGUUUAUGGUCUAAGUGCAAUGCUCAACAUUGUGAUGCUAUAAAAACUGUUUAGCUAGAGUAAGAUAGAGGCAAGUGGAAUUCCAUGUGUAGUGGUAAAAUGCGUAAAUAUAUGGAGGAACACCAGUAGCGAAGGCGGCUUGCUGGGUCUUUACUGACGCUGAGGCACGAAAGCGUGGGGAGCAAACAGGAUUAGAUACCCUGGUAGUCCACGCCGUAAACGAUGAGUACUAAACGUUGGGUAAAACCAGUGUUGAAGUUAACACAUUAAGUACUCCGCCUGAGUAGUACGUACGCAAGUAUGAAACUUAAAGGAAUUGACGGGACUCCGCACAAGCGGUGGAUCAUGUUGUUUAAUUCGAAGGUACCCGAAAAACCUCACCAGGUCUUGACAUGCUUCUGCAAAGCUGUAGAAACACAGUGGAGGUUAUCAGUUGCACAGGUGGUGCAUGGUUGUCGUCAGCUCGUGUCGUGAGAUGUUGGGUUAAGUCCCGCAACGAGCGCAACCCUUAUUGUUAGUUACCAGCACGUAAUGGUGGGGACUUUAGCAAGACUGCCAGUGAUAAAUUGGAGGAAGGUGGGGACGACGUCAAAUCAUCAUGCCCCUUAUGACCUGGGCUACAAACGUGAUACAAUGGCUGUUACAAAGGGUAGCUGAAGCGCAAGUUUUUGGCGAAUCUCACGCAAGUUUUUGGCGAAUCUCAAAAAAACAGUCUCAGUUCGGAUUGAAGUCUGCAACUCGACUUCAUGAAGUUGGAAUCGCUAGUAAUCGCGAAUCAGCAUGUCGCGGUGAAUACGUUCUCGGGGUUUGUACACACCGCCCGUCAAACCACGAAAGUUGGUAAUACCCAAAGCCGGUGGCCUAACUUCGCAAGAAGAGGGAACCGUCUAAGGUAGGGUCGAUGAUUGGGGUUAAGUCGUAACAAGGUAUCCCUACCGGAAGGUGGGGAUGGAUCACCUCCUUUCUAAGGAAACAAUUAUCAUCUUCAGUUUUGAGAGACUUAAGAAAGUUUUUCAUUGUAACUUGCUUGCAAAUUGUAUUUGCAACAUUUUAAUCUUUUUAAGAUUAAGGGCCUAUAGCUCAGUUGGUUAGAGCACACGCCUGAUAAGCGUGAGGUCGGUGGUUCAAGUCCAUUUAGGCCCACCAUAACCACAAAUAGGCAAAAUCUUAAAAAAGCUCUUUGAAAAGUAGAUAAACGAAGGUUAAAAAAUCAAAGGAACUAAGGGCGCACAGUGGAUGCCUUGGCACUAAGAGCCGAUGAAGGACG